UAUGAAGUUGGAAUCGCUAGUAAUCGCGGAUCAGCAUGCCGCGGUGAAUACGUUCCCGGGCCUUGUACACACCGCCCGUCACACCAUGAGAGUCGGGAACACCCGAAGUCCGUAGCCUAACCGCAAGGAGGGCGCGGCCGAAGGUGGGUUCGAUAAUUGGGGUGAAGUCGUAACAAGGUAGC
rnacentral:rRNA from 1 species